UACGAAGGGGGCUAGCGUUGCUCGGAAUCACUGGGCGUAAAGCGCACGUAGGCGGAUUUGUAAGUCAGGGGUGAAAUCCCGGGGCUCAACCUCGGAACUGCCUUUGAUACUGCAAGUCUUGAGUCCGAUAGAGGUGAGUGGAAUUCCUAGUGUAGAGGUGAAAUUCGUAGAUAUUAGGAAGAACACCGGUGGCGAAGGCGGCCCACUGGAUCGGUACUGACGCUGAGGUGCGAAAGCGUGGGGAGCAACAGG
rnacentral:rRNA from 1 species